CCCGCAGAGCCGGGCGCGGGGCCAGGGGAGGGGAGCAGGAAACCACAGAACAAAGAUUGGGUCAAACCACUAGUGAUGAUAAAGAAGAAGUUGAAGUUAAAUCUUCAUUUGUUCGUGCUGCAUGUGUUUCAAGGAUCACAGGAUCUUCUCCU